rnacentral:rRNA from 1 species
AUUGAACGCUGGCGGCAGGCCUAAUACAUGCAAGUCGAGCGAGCGGCGGACGGGUGAGUAAUGUCUGGGAAACUGCCUGAUGGAGGGGGAUAACUACUGGAAACGGUAGCUAAUACCGCAUACCAUCAGAUGUGCCCAUAUGUGAUCAGCUAGUGGGUGGGGUAACGGCUUACCUAGGCGACGAGCCCUAGCUGGUCUGACAGGAUGACCAGCCACACUGGAACUGAGACACGGUCAAGACUCCUACGGGAGGCCGCAGUGGGGAAUAUUGCACAAUGGGCGCAAGCCUGAUGCAGCCAUGCCGCGUGUGUGAAGAAGGCCUUCGGGUUGUAAAGCACUUUCAGCGGGGAGGCGUUACCCGCAGAAGAAGCACCGGCUAACUCCGUGCCAGCAGCCGCGGUAAUAC